AUCACUGUGCAUCCGUUCUCCCAACGGGCGGCGCACGGGCUCUUGGCCCGAGCGCACGCCCCUCGGGACCACAGGGGCAGCGUGUCAUCACAGUGCUGAUGCUCACGGCCUGUUGCGGCAAAAAGAUGCAAUCUGUGUCUUGAAACCACACCAGUUUGUUGGCACGUGGCAGCCGAGAUUUCCGGUCAGCUAGAGUUCAGCCAUCGGAUUACCACCAUUUACCCCAAUGACGUCUGUUCCACCCUUGUGUUCCGUUCUGUCCUUUACAUCAUUUCAGUCAGCUUUCUUUGCAGAAACAGCCUUCGCUGGGAGAAGACCUAUUUCAUAUCAUCUUUCUUAAGGAUCUACUGACAUCACACUUAAGAUUAGUGAACGCAAGCUGCCACGUAGUGAGCAGCCCUAUGGAGAGACCCCCAGGGCAAGGAAUGAAAGCCUCCGACCAACAGAUCAACAGCUAGUGAGGAGCUGAGGCCUGUAACAGCCCUGCAGGAUUGGAAGCACGGUCACCAGCCCCCACCCGACCCCGAGAUGAACACAGCCCAGACCAAACUGAAGCCGGGCAAGGGAAUUCAAUGUGCAGCCUGGACAAGAAUUCCAAAGGAGAAGCUGCCAUGUGGCAUCCAGUCUCUGCGGGUGGGGUGCACCCUAUUCGUCACAGCUCACGUUGGGCGUUUGAGGACAAGGCUCUAGAAAGGAGAUGGAAGCUCCUUGAAAGCAGGUGUUCUGUAAAACACAUUGCACUGUGUUCUAUACAUAGCUGGUGCUCAACAAUAUCUACAGAAUUACAUGUAAAGAUGAACUACACUGGGCAGCUCACUAGGUCCAAAGAGCGAUCUGUCUUAAUUCCGACUAGGUCAGGAUUCCUCAAUUUGAACCUACUGACAUUUCAGGCCAGAUGCCAGGAGCAGCUCCCAAGUCGUGACAACUAAAAAUGUCACCAGAAACUGCCCAACGUUCCUGGGGGACAAAGCUGCCCCAGACUGGGAACCACUGCACAAGAUACUCUGAGCAUCCUCACAAUGAUCCAGACAUGUAGGGAGACCCUCCUCUGCAAGGGGCGCUGGAUAUGCGAAGAGGAAAAAGACAAAGGCUCUGCCGUCCUG